AACGAACGCUGGCGGUAUGCUUAACACAUGCAAGUCGAACGAAUGACAUUGGAGCUUGCUUCAAUGAAGUUAGUGGCAAACGGGUGAGUAACACGUGGGAAUCUACCUAUCAGUACGGAAUAACAUUUGGAAACAAAUGCUAAUACCGUAUAUUCUCUCCGGAGGAAAGAUUUAUCGCUGAUAGAUGAGCCCGCGUAAGAUUAGGUAGUUGGUAGGGUAAUGGCCUACCAAGCCUACGAUCUUUAGCUGGUCUGAGAGGAUGAUCAGCCACACUGGGACUGAGACACGGCCCAGACUCCUACGGGAGGCAGCAGUGGGGAAUAUUGGACAAUGGACGAAAGUCUGAUCCAGCAAUACCGCGUGAAUGAUGAAGGCCUUAGGGUUGUAAAGUUCUUUUAGUAGGGAAGAUAAUGACGGUACCUACAGAAAAAGCCCCGGCUAACUCCG
rnacentral:rRNA from 1 species